GAUGAACGCUGGCGGCGUGCCUAAUACAUGCAAGUCGAGCGAACAGGUGAGGAACUUGCUCCUCUGACGUUAGCGGCGGACGGGUGAGUAACGCGUGGAUAAUCUACCUAUAAGAGGGGGAUAACUUGGGGAAACGGGCGCUAAUACCGGAUAAUAUAUUGAACCACAUGGUUCAAUAGUGAAAGACGGUUUUGCUGUCACUUAUAGAUGCCUCCCCUCCUAUUUGGCUGGUUGUGAAGGUAAAGGCUUACAAAGGGAACGAUGCGUAGCCGACCUACAGGGCGGAUCGGCCACACUGGAACGGAAACAGGCUCAAGACCACUACGGAAGGCAGCAGAAGGGAACCUGCGGCAAUGGGGGAAAGCCUGACGGAGCAAGGCGGCGGGGGUGAGGAAGGUCUCGGGUUCGUAAAACCCGGUUAUUAGGGAAAAACAAAUUUGGAAUUAAAUGUGCACGUAGUGACGGUACCUAAUCAGAAAGCCACGGCUAACUACGUG
rnacentral:rRNA from 1 species